GAUUUAGGCACAUUGCGAAAUUCCUUUGAAUCCCCUGUUUUGAGACGUUGUUGAUGUUAUUCCACUAUCGGUUCUCCAAGAUAUUUUGCUUGAUUUUUAGCUUUGUAAAUACCUAUUUUACCCUUGUAAUCAACCAAUGAAUAGGUUGCUUUUGUAAUAGCUAUUGUAAUUUAGCUUUUUAUUGUCUUUAAAUAGAGGUGAAGA
rnacentral:lncRNA from 1 species